rnacentral:rRNA from 1 species
GUGCCAGCCGCCGCGGGUAAUACGUAGGGCGCAAGCGUUGUCCGGAAUUAUUGGGCGUAAAGAGCUUGUAGGCGGUUUGUCGCGUCUGCUGUGAAAUUUCGGGGCUCAACCCCGAACUUGCAGUGGGUACGGGCAGACUAGAGUGUGGUAGGGGAGACUGGAAUUCCUGGUGUAGCGGUGAAAUGCGCAGAUAUCAGGAGGAACACCGAUGGCGAAGGCAGGUCUCUGGGCCACUACUGACGCUGAGAAGCGAAAGCAUGGGGAGCGAACGGGAUUAGAUACCCCCGUAGUCC